rnacentral:rRNA from 1 species
UUGAACGCUGGCGGCAGGCCUAACACAUGCAAGUCGAGCGGUAGCACAGAGAGCUUGCUCUCGGGUGACGAGCGGCGGACGGGUGAGUAAUGUCUGGGAAACUGCCUGAUGGAGGGGGAUAACUACUGGAAACGGUAGCUAAUACCGCAUAAUGUCGCAAGACCAAAGUGGGGGACCUUCGGGCCUCAUGCCAUCAGAUGUGCCCAGAUGGGAUUAGCUAGUAGGUGGGGUAACGGCUCACCUAGGCGACGAUCCCUAGCUGGUCUGAGAGGAUGACCAGCCACACUGGAACUGAGACACGGUCCAGACUCCUACGGGAGGCAGCAGUGGGGAAUAUUGCACAAUGGGCGCAAGCCUGAUGCAGCCAUGCCGCGUGUGUGAAGAAGGCCUUCGGGUUGUAAAGCCCUUUCAGCGGGGAGGAAGGCGUUAAGGUUAAUAACCUUGGCGAUUGACGUUACCCGCAGAAGAAGCACCGGCUAACUCCGUGCCAGCAGCCGCGGUAAUACGGAGGGUGCAAGCGUUAAUCGGAAUUACUGGGCGUAAAGCGAACGCAGGCGGUCUGUCAAGUCGGAUGUGAAAUCCCCGGGCUCAACCUGGGAACUGCAUUCGAAACUGGCAGGCUAGAGUCUUGUAGAGGGGGGUAGAAUUCCAGGUGUAGCGGUGAAAUGCGUAGAGAUCUGGAGGAAUACCGGUGGCGAAGGCGGCCCCCUGGACAAAGACUGACGCUCAGGUGCGAAAGCGUGGGGAGCAAACAGGAUUAGAUACCCUGGUAGUCCACGCCGUAAACGAUGUCGAUUUGGAGGUUGUGCCCUUGAGGCGUGGCUUCCGGAGCUAACGCGUUAAAUCGACCGCCUGGGGAGUACGGCCGCAAGGUUAGAACUCAAAUGAAUUGACGGGGGCCCGCACAAGCGGUGGAGCAUGUGGUUUAAUUCGAUGCAACGCGAAGAACCUUACCUGGUCUUGACAUCCACAGAACUUUCCAGAGAUGGAUUGGUGCCUUCGGGAACUGUGAGACAGGUGCUGCAUGGCUGUCGUCAGCUCGUGUUGUGAAAUGUUGGGUUAAGUCCCGCAACGAGCGCAACCCUUAUCCUUUGUUGCCAGCGGUUCGGCCGGGAACUCAAAGGAGACUGCCAGUGAUAAACUGGAGGAAGGUGGGGAUGACGUCAAGUCAUCAUGGCCCUUACGACCAGGGCUACACACGUGCUACAAUGGCAUAUACAAAGAGAAGCGACCUCGCGAGAGCAAGCGGACCUCAUAAAGUAUGUCGUAGUCCGGAUUGGAGUCUGCAACUCGACUCCAUGAAGUCGGAAUCGCUAGUAAUCGUAGAUCAGAAUGCUACGGUGAAUACGUUCCCGGGCCUUGUACACACCGCCCGUCACACCAUGGGAGUGGGUUGCAAAAGAAGUAGGUAGCUUAACCUUCGGGAGGGCGCUUACCACUUUGUGAUUCAUGACUGGGGUG